GAUGAACGCUGGCGGCGUGCUUAACACAUGCAAGUCGAACGGAAAGGCCGAAGCUUGCUUCGGUACUCGAGUGGCGAACGGGUGAGUAACACGUGGGUGAUCUGUCCCGUACUUCGGGAUAAGCCUUGGAAACUGGGUCUCAUACCGGGUAUGACAAUCUCUUGGAUGGGGUUGUGGAAAGCUUUUGCGGUAUGGGGUGAGCUCGCGGCCUAUCAGCUUGUUGGUGGGGUACUGGUCUACCAAGGCGUUGCCGGGUAGCCGGCCUGAGAGGGUGUACGGCCACCUUGGGCCUGCGAUACGGCCCAGACUCCUACGGGAGGCAGCGGUGGGGAAUAUUGCACAAUGGGCGCACGCCUGAUGCGGCGACGCCGCGUGGGGGAUGACGGCCUUCGGGUUGUAAACUCCUGUCGCAGCCGACGAAGCUUUUGUGACGGUAGGUUGAGAAGAAGCACCGGCUAACUACGUG
rnacentral:rRNA from 1 species